UUCGCAAUGCCCGAAAGGGUGACGAUGCGACGCCGCGUGAGCGAAGAAGGCCCUAGGGUUGUAAAGCUCUGUCGAGGGUUAUGAAAUAUAGAUGGGUUAAUACCCCAUUUAUUUGACAAAAGCCCAAAAGGAAGCCACGGCUAACUCUGUGCCAGCAGCCGCGGUAAUACAGAGGUGGCGAGCGUUGUUCGGUAUUAUUGGGCGUAAAGAGCACGUAGGUGGUUUUGUAAGUCAGGUGUGAAAGCCUUCUGUUCAAAGGAAGAACGGCGUCUGAAACUGCAGAUCUUGAGUGUAGGAGGGGAGAGUGGAACUUCUGGUGGAGCGGUGAAAUGCGUAGAUAUCAGAAGGAACGCCGGUGGCGAAAGCGACUCUCUGGCCUGUUUCUGACGCUGAGUGUGCGAAAGCUAGGGGAGCAAACGGGAUUAGAUACCCCGGUAGUCCUAACUGUAAACGAUGGGCACUAAGUAGAGGGGUUUU
rnacentral:rRNA from 1 species